GUAGGGUGCAAGCGUUAAUCGGGAAUUACUGGGGCGUAAAGCGUGCGCAGGCGGUUGUGCAAGACAGAUGUGAAAUCCCCGGGGCUUAACCUGGGGAAUUGCAUUUGUGACUGUACGGCUAGAGUGUGUCAGAGGGGGGUAGAAUUCCACGUGUAGCAGUGAAAUGCGUAGAGAUGUGGAGGAAUACCGAUGGCGAAGGCAGCCCCCUGGGAUAACACUGACGCUCAUGCACGAAAGCGUGGGGAGCAAACAGGAUUAGAUACCCUGGUAGUCCACGCCCUAAACGAUGUCAACUAGUUGUCGGGUCUUAAUUGACUUGGUAACGCAGCUAACGCGUGAAGUUGACCGCCUGGGGAGUACGGUCGCAAAGAUUAA
rnacentral:rRNA from 1 species